rnacentral:rRNA from 1 species
GUUGAACGCUGGCGGCGUGCCUAAUACAUGCAAGUCGAGCGAACGAAGGGAACUUUUUCUUCUCUGCUGCUACCGACGGACGGGUAAGGACCACGUAGCUGACUGGCCUAUAAGACUAAGGUAAGGUCGGGAAACCUAAUCUAGCACACGAUAAUAUGUUGAACGGCAUGGUUCUUCAGUCCACAAGCUAUUUGAUGUCCCUAGUUGGUAUUACCUCGUUGCAUUAGCUAGUUGGUAAGGUAACGGCCUACCAAGGCUACGAUGCGUAGCCGACCUGAGAGGAUGAUCAGCCACACUGGAACUGAGACACGGUCCAGACUCCUACGGGAGGCAGCAGUAGGGAAUCUUCCGCAAUGGGCGAAAGCCUGACGGAGCCAUGCCGCGUGAGUGAUGAAGGUCUUCGGAUCGUAAAACUCUGUUAUUAGGGAAGAACAUAUGUGUAAGUAACUGUGCAUGUCUUGACGUUACCUACUCAGAAAGCAACGGCUAACUACGUG